rnacentral:rRNA from 1 species
GAUGAACGCUGGCGGCGUGCCUAAUACAUGCAAGUCGAGCGAACAGACGAGGAGCCUGCUCCUCUGACGUUAGCGGCGGACGGGUGAGUAACACGUGGAUAACCUACCUAUAUGACUGGGAUAACUUCGGGAAACCGGAGCUAAUACCGGAUAAUAUAUUGAACCGCAUGGUUCAAUAGUGAAAGACGGUUUUGCUGUCACUUAUAGAUGGAUCCGCGCCGCAUUAGCUAGUUGGUAAGGUAACGGCUUACCAAGGCAACGAUGCGUAGCCGACCUGAGAGGGUGAUCGGCCACACUGGAACUGAGACACGGUCCAGACUCCUACGGGAGGCAGCAGUAGGGAAUCUUCCGCAAUGGGCGAAAGCCUGACGGAGCAACGCCGCGUGAGUGAUGAAGGUCUUCGGAUCGUAAAACUCUGUUAUUAGGGAAGAACAAAUGUGUAAGUAACUAUGCACGUCUUGACGGUACCUAAUCAGAAAGCCACGGCUAACUACGUG